GACGAACGCUGGCGGCGUGCUUAACACAUGCAAGUCGAACGGAAAGGCUCCAGCUUGCUGGAGUGCUCGAGUGGCGAACGGGUGAGUAACACGUGGGCAAUCUGCCCUGCACUCUGGGAUAAGCCUGGGAAACUGGGUCUAAUACCGGAUAGGACCUUUCUCCUCAUGGGGUUUGGUGGAAAGUUUUUCGGUGCAGGAUGGGCCCGCGGCCUAUCAGCUUGUUGGUGGGGUAAUGGCCUACCAAGGCGACGACGGGUAGCCGGCCUGAGAGGGUGGUCGGGCACAUUGGGACUGAGAUACGGCGCAGACUGCUACGGGAGGCAGCAGUGGGGAAUAUUGCACAAUGGGCGAAAGCCUGAUGCAGCGACGCCGCGUGAGGGAUGACGGCCUUCGGGUUGUGAACCUCUUUCAGUAGGGACGAAGCGCAAGUGACGGUACCUGCAGAAGAAGCACCGGCUAACUACGUG
rnacentral:rRNA from 1 species